UUGAAGUUCCCGGUGCCAUAACUCCUGAGACACCAAAGGACAUUUUCAAGGGCAGGCUGAUGAACAAGAACAACAAUCUAAACAAAAGUUACAACCACAUUAACAAUAAAAGCCCGAUGUACAAUACAGAUAAGGUGAAGCCAUACAUCUGUCUGAUGAAAAAGAGCUUCGAAUAUAUUGACCACGACAACAUUCAGUCAUAGUAAAGUUAUUAAACAAGCAUCUAACACACAACUACUUGAGGACCAAGUUAGCCGAUCUUUGGAAGCUGUCGGAACCACUAACACUAAUCAAUUUUGGAUGCGAUUUCUACAUGGCAAAGUUCAACAAGCCCGAAAAUACAAUAAAAGCCCUUCAAGGUGGACCCUGGUUCAUCACCGGAAACUUCUUGUCAGUUAGGCAAUGGGAACCAAACUUUGUGCCGGAGGAAGCAACACAAACGCACAUAACUAUCUGGUUAAGACUCCUACAGUUGCCAAUCGAGUUUUACGAUCAAAGAAUCUUAGAAUUGAUAGGGACAAAGUUGGGAAUCUCGUUAAAGAUUAAUACCUGUACCUUAUCGACUCUAAGAGGAAGAUAUGCUAGGCUCUGUAUUCAAGUACCUCUGGGAGUCCCCCUAAAAAAUCAUAUCACCAUUUGCAACGAAAAUCAAAGAGCGAUUUACAAAGGCGAUGGGCUCCUCUGCACGGCUUGUGGCAGACUUGGUCAUCAGGCCAAACAAUGCCCUUAUGGUACCAUCAGCAUCACCACUGACAAAGAGUAGCCUAGUACCAGCAAGGAAACACACCAAAAGGUUCCACAGGAAUGUCAAGUGGUAUCUUUUCCAAAGCAGAAACACAAUCCAAAUCGUGCAACAACUAUCCAAGGACGAAGGCCAUUACACACUGACGAACCCCUCCAGGUAAAGAAGACGGAGAUCAACCCAGGUAAGAAUCGUUACUCUUCACACCCCUCCUCCAUGGCUCAAGACAGAGCAAGUGGCUCUGUCAGAACAGCCACGCCUGCAAAACUUUUUUCGGCAUUAAAGAAAAAUAGAACAGGCACGAGGGGGGAAACUGGGUUAAUUCACAUGACUGGUAAAACUGUUGACAACAACUUUUUCUCUGGAGUCAAUCCCCCCUUCACGCAUGGCCCCUGCAUUAAUAACCCCAACAAUCCCUCCUUUAUUAACUUCAACCAAACAUCCACUCUAGUUAUUUAAAAAACUGGGCCCCAUAGGCCCCCACUAUCCACCAGCAUUAACAAGGCUUCAAUGGAGGCCUC
rnacentral:lncRNA from 1 species